GCUGCUAUUUGCUGUCAUGUACCCUACUAUCUACAAAAUUUUGUAUGUUUUCUGAAACUUGCUGGCAUUUGGUGUCUUUCUGUAGGUUUCCAAAAGUAUCUUCAAAUUCCUUUUUAAGGCUAUGAUAACUACUCUGAUCUCGUUAACCUUCCUGUUUCAGGAAGCUAACAGAAAACUACACGCAACGCAGCAGAUUUUUCACAUUGGAAUUAGUCAUUGCCUCCAUUUCAAAAUCCUCAGGCUUCCGUAAGGUGUGCCCUCCUGCAAAGUGCUACCAGUAAAUGAGCCAACGUGAAGCAUUACCAGGAUGACGGACUACUUUGGUUUUGUUUGGUUUGGUUUUCUGGGGAUUUUUGUCCCCUGCCAGUCCAUGUUUUUACUGAAAUUAAAAUAUCAAAACAACACUCAGCUAUAUUCAGGACACAAUGCAAACUCCACGGUAAUUUAGCCCUGUUAACCUGGCACUGAUCUAAGCCCUUUACCACAGUCUCACAGUAAGCAAAAAUACAUUGCUAACACGGUGGAGGAACUGGAUGAGAGGUAGAGAAUCUAUAUAGACUCCUGUGACCUGACUGAGAUGUCAACUUUGAUCCCAAAAUGUGUGAUCUAAUCUGCUAAGGAUUUGUGGAUCUUGCUAGGUAGCUGGUAGGGGUCUGUGACUUCAAUGAGUAUUUCAAUAUGUUUACAUUUAGCAGGUCUGUUCUUACUCAGCAAUGCAGGCUGACAUUGCUCAACUUCUACCCACUCUUGUUUUGUCUCCAGUCUUAUAUCAUGUGUUCCUCAGCACAGAGGCACUCAUUGCUGAGUGUCUGCAAAACUCCUAUUAGGCAUUUGCUAUUUGUCAGCAGGUUUUACACUGCUUUCUGUAACAGCAGUAAUUAAAGCCCAGGUCUUCAAAGAACCUUUGAUUGCUGUGGCAGAAGGAGUGCUUGGAAAUACCUUCCCAUCAAGGUGGUGUCGUUCAUCCCUGCUACAGCCGGAUGGAAGGUUUCCUGGUGUACAGCUGCCCCGGCCUCCACAGCCUGCCUGCCCUCCUUCCACAGGCAAAGGCCUGUCCUAUGCAAUCCCAUGUGGGGAUCAUUACCAUCCCAGAGGAGCCACGCUGCUUGGUGGUUCAGCCCAGGGACAGCUGAGGGCCCCAGUCAAGCCCCAAGUUUGGGCUUGAGCCAGCCAUUGCAGUUCAUACUGAUUUCUAAGACAGAAGGAGGGGCUAAAUGAGUGGCUGAUCAACUGGGAAUCUGUAAAAUG